GAUGAACGCUAGCUACAGGCUUAACACAUGCAAGUCGAGGGGUAACGAGAGGAAAGCUUGCUUUCCUUGUCGACGACCGGCGCACGGGUGAGUAACGCGUAUCCAACCUGCCCCCAACUAGGGAAUAACCUCGCGAAAGUAAGACUAAUACCCUAUAAUUUCCUCAGAUGUCAUCUGACGAGGAAUAAAGAUUUAUCGGUUGUGGAUGGGGAUGCGUCUGAUUAGCUUGUUGGCGGGGUAACGGCCCACCAAGGCAACGAUCAGUAGGGGUUCUGAGAGGAAGGUCCCCCACAUUGGAACUGAGACACGGUCCAAACUCCUACGGGAGGCAGCAGUGAGGAAUAUUGGUCAAUGGGCGGAAGCCUGAACCAGCCAAGUAGCGUGCAGGAUGACGGCCCUAUGGGUAGUAAACUGCUUUUAUACAGGAAUAAAGUUAGCCACGUGUGGUUAUUUGUAGGUACUGUAUGAAUAAGGACCGGCUAAUUCCGUGCCAGCAGCCGCCGUAA
rnacentral:rRNA from 1 species